GACGAACGCUGGCGGCGUGCUUAAAACAUGCAAGUCGAACGGACUUCUCAUGAAGCUUGCGAUUGAGAAGUUAGUGGCGGACGGGUGAGUAACGCGUGGGCAACCUGCCCCUGAGCCCGGGAUAACAGUUCGAAAGGACUGCUAAGACCGGAUAUACUUGCGGGGAAGCAUUUCUCUGUAAGGAAAGGGAACGCUCAGGGAUGGGCCCGCGUCCCAUUAGCUAGUUGGUGAGGUAACGGCCCACCAAGGCGACGAUGGGUAGCCGGCCUGAGAGGGUGAACGGCCACACUGGGACUGAGACACGGCCCAGACUCCUACGGGAGCAGCAGUUGGGAAUCUUCGGCAAUGGGCGCAAGCCUGACCGAGCAACGCCGCGUGAGUGAUGAAGGUUUUCGGAUUGUAAAGCUCUGUCUUCCGGGACGAUAAUGACGGUACCGGAGGAGGAAGCCACGGCUAACUACGUG
rnacentral:rRNA from 1 species